UACGUAGGGGGCUAGCGUUGUCCGGAAUCAUUGGGCGUAAAGAGCGCGUAGGCGGCCAGAUAAGUCCGGUGUGAAAGUCAAAGGCUCAACCUUUGAAUGCCGCUGGAAACUGUCUGGCUAGGGUCCGGGAGGGGCGAGUGGAAUUCCUGGUGUAGCGGUGAAAUGCGCAGAUAUCAGGAGGAACACCAAUGGCGAAGGCAGCUCGCUGGAACGGUACUGACGCUGAGGCGCGAAAGCGUGGGGAGCGAACAGG
rnacentral:rRNA from 1 species